UACAGAGGUCUCAAGCGUUGUUCGGAUUCAUUGGGCGUAAAGGGUGUGUAGGUGGCGCCGUAAGUCGGGUGUGAAAUUUCGGAGCUUAACUCCGAAACUGCAUUCGAUACUGCGGUGCUUGAGGACUGGAGAGGAGACUGGAAUUCGUGGUGUAGCAGUGAAAUGCGUAGAGAUCAUGAGGAAGACCAGUGGCGAAGGCGGGUCUCUGGACAGUUCCUGACACUGAGACACGAAGGCCAGGGGAGCAAACGGG
rnacentral:rRNA from 1 species